GUUUCAGACUUCUUUAUUUAUGUUAGUUUCCCUGACCCUAGACCAGGGUCGUAACAAAAUUGUAUGUACAGCCACACACACAAAC